GAUGAACGCUGGCGGCGUGCCUAAUACAUGCAAGUCGAGCGAACGGACGAGAAGCUUGCUUCUCUGAUGUUAGCGGCGGACGGGUGAGUAACACGUGGAUAACCUACCUAUAAGACUGGGAUAACUUCGGGAAACCGGAGCUAAUACCGGAUAAUAUUUUGAACCGCAUGGUUCAAAAGUGAAAGACGGUCUUGCUGUCACUUAUAGAUGGAUCCGCGCUGCAUGAGCUAGUUGGUAAGGUAACGGCUUACCAAGGCAACGAUGCAUAGCCGACCUGAGAGGGUGAUCGGCCACACUGGAACUGAGACACGGUCCAGACUCCUAAGGGAGGCAGCAGUAGGGAAUCUUCCGCAAUGGGCGAAAGCCUGACGGAGCAACGCCGCGUGAGUGAUGAAGGUCUUCGGAUCGUAAAACUCUGUUAUUAGGGAAGAACAUAUGUGUAAGUAACUGUGCACAUCUUGACGGUACCUAAUCAGAAAGCCACGGCUAACUACGUG
rnacentral:rRNA from 1 species